UGGUGGAGUGAUUUGUCUGGUUAAUUCCGUUAACGAACGAGACCUCGACCUGCUAAAUAGUUCGGCGUACUUUCGGGUACGUACGCGACUUCUUAGAGGGACUGUCGGUUUUAGCCGAAGGAAGUUCGAGGCAAUAACA
rnacentral:rRNA from 1 species